GGAAGGUCCGGGCGUUAUCCGGAUUUAUUGGGUUUAAAGGGAGCGUAGGCCGGAGAUUAAGCGUGUUGUGAAAUGUAGAUGCUCAACAUCUGAACUGCAGCGCGAACUGGUUUCCUUGAGUACGCACAAAGUGGGCGGAAUUCGUGGUGUAGCGGUGAUAUGCUUAGAUAUCACGAAGAACUCCGAUUGCGAAGGCAGCUCACUGGAGCGCAACUGACGCUGAAGCUCGAAAGUGUGGGUAUCAAACAGGAUUAGAUACCCUGGUAGUCCACACAGUAAACGAUGGAUGCCCGCUGUUGGUCUGAAUAGGUCAGCGGCCAAGCGAAAGCAUUAAGCAUCCCACCUGGGGAGU
rnacentral:rRNA from 1 species